AACUGGCAGAAUGAAAAAGGUCAAGGUGCCGCUUUUUUCCUGGAUCGCUCUCUUAGUUAAUUUGAUAGAAAACACCAUCUGAGGUUUCUGCUUCGAGAGCAAAAAACACUUUUGGUAAAUGUCUUUUCCAGAAGGACAUAUCACUCCAAUCUUGAAAACGAGCUAAACUCAGCAACGAGGCUGCAGAAACUUUCGUUUCUCUUCAGGAAUAUCAUACCUCUCCAGUGACUUGUGAGCUGGUAUGUGAACAAAGGGAGGCCGUUAAAUCGUGCUGCUGGGAACCAUACGGGCAGUAGUCUCUCCAGUCAAAGAAGCUCCUGUGCUCUGCUCUUCUGUUUUCAGAUACUUAACUUUAAAAAAAAG